rnacentral:rRNA from 1 species
AUUGAACGCUGGCGGCAGGCCUAACACAUGCAAGUCGAGCGGUAGCACAGAGAGCUUGCUCUCGGGUGACGAGCGGCGGACGGGUGAGUAAUGUCUGGGAAACUGCCCGAUGGAGGGGGAUAACUACUGGAAACGGUAGCUAAUACCGCAUAACGUCGCAAGACCAAAGAGGGGGACCUUCGGUCCUCUUGCCAUCGGAUGUGCCCAGAUGGGAUUAGCUAGUAGGUGGGGUAACGGCUCACCUAGGCGACGAUCCCUAGCUGGUCUGAGAUGAUGACCAGCCACACUGGAACUGAGACACGGUCCAGACUCCUACGGGAGGCAGCAGUGGGGAAUAUUGCACAAUGGGCGCAAGCCUGAUGCAGCCAUGCCGCGUGUAUGAAGAAGGCCUUCGGGUUGUAAAGUACUUUCAGCGGGGAGGAAGGUGUUGAGGUUAAUAACCUCAGCAAUUGACGUUACCCGCAGAAGAAGCACCGGCUAACUCCGUGCCAGCCGCCGCCGUAA